GGGGAAAGGGAUGUAACAGGAUUCUGUGAUUAACUACCUGCUUCCUUUAUGCAUUGAACAAACACAGGUAAAAUGAAGUGGAUAAACUCACAUCUUGAUUAAGCUAAGGAUAUUUGAUAUGUGGCCCCUCUGGAUGCGUUGCUCAACCUCAAAGGAGUUGUGAUCCACAGGUGGAGAACCACUGACCUGGAGACUGACCUGCAGUGUCCCGGUUGGCUUAUCAGUGGGCACGAUGAGACAUUGCUUUUUGGAUCUGCAUUGCUGCGCGGAUCUUCCUGCUUCUAUACUUGACUUCAUAGAGAGAAACAUUCCAGAGAACUUCUCUGGGGGAUUUCCAACUGAAUCUUGCAGCUCUGGCUGGUUUUGUGUUCCUGCUUCGUGUUGGCCUUUGGACUGGUCUGCUGGAAUCUUGAAGACUGAGUUUGUAAAUCCACUAAAUACCCAUCAAUCCUAAUCAGCAGGAAGUACAUAAAAGAGGUCUACAGCCCUUUUCCCUACUCAUCUCCUACCUAAGGUUGGGGGAGGGAGGAUGGUUAAAAGGGAGAAAAAGGUAUUUAAGAACCCUAAAUAAGGUAGGCUUGGGGUGAAAAAUCUAAGCCCACAAGUCUCUGCUUGUGUGACAGGUCGCAUCCUGCAUUCUGUAACAGCUGCAGUGUUUGGCUGCUUUAUUGCAUUGACUGGUUGCGCUGUUGACUUCUCAGAACCAUGACUAGCCUCAGUAUCUCUCUGUGUUCACAGGGAAGGAUAUGUGAACACAUCAAGGGUCCAAAGAUUAAUGAGAGAAUGGUUAGAAUACCACAUUUGAAGUGAAAAAAUAGAAAAGAAAAAAGCUGCCCUUGAUUUGUGUGGCAGCUUUUUACUAAGCACCCCAGCCAAUCCUGCUUUGUUAACUGAGUGGUGGGAAGCAGAGCUAUAGCUGUGCUGCCUACGCAGCUGCUGAAAGCCUCCAAAGCCUGCACUGUUAGGUUCUUGUUGUUAGUCUGUUCUGGAGAGCAGUGUAGCUCCCUUGAACCUCAUAGACUGAGCAGAGUCAUUACUGAAUGGGGGAGUUAUGUCUCUGGAAGGAGACAUGCUCUGCAAAUAAUAAAUACACAUCCCAAGAGUCAGCUAAGAGUCCAGCCACACAGGAAGCCUGUUUACGCUUGACAGAAGUUUCCAGUUUAGUCUAACAUGAUGCGAGGGAUGUUAUUGGAAAGAGGAAGGGGAGGUAAAUGUUUUUUCUCAGCUAUAGAAAAUUUAGUAAAAUUCUGAGUCCUGUUUAGCUUUUCACAGGAUGUCAAACUUCACACCAUCCUCAAAAUCAAAUGAGAACUCAAAAUCAGACCUCGGGUAGGACAAUGAGCAUUGAGACGGACACUUAGUCAGUUCAGGCUGUGUAACAAAAUACCUCAGAGUGGGUGGCUUAAGUAACACAAAUAUGUUAUUAUGAUUCUGAAACCUUGGACAUCUAAGAAAAGUGCCAGUAGGUGUGGGGUAUGGUGGGGCCUUUCACUGAUCUGUAUACAGCUGGGCUUUUUUGCUCUUUCUUUAAGUGGCUAGGGGGUUUUGAGACAGAGGGCAGACACCUCUGUGCCUUGUCUUGUAAGUAUGAUAAUUCCAUGAUAAAGGCUCCAUCCUCAUGAUUUAAUUACCUUUAAGGAUCUCCACAUAUUAUGAUACUGGGUUUUACCAUUUGAAAUUUGAAAAUAGACAUUCAGUCCAUAGCAUUUAUUCAAAAAAUUUUCAUGUUACAAUAAAGACACUAAGAUGUAAUAUUAAGUAGUUACUGGACUGGACUGUGGAGUUAACUAAGAUUUGAUGGGUUCCUAGAAGCCGGUUUGUCAGCUCCUGUCUAUGCUGAGGGACCAGCCAAGUCAUAGUCAGCUGCAGUGAGUUAAAACUUAUUGGUAAGUUUAGGAAUCAGGAUUUUUGAAUGAUUUGCCUUUGACUUUAAAGAAAUGAGAACAAAUUCCAGGUUA